rnacentral:rRNA from 1 species
GAUGAACGCUGGCGGCGUGCCUAAUACAUGCAAGUCGAGCGAACAGACGAGGAGCUUGCUCCUCUGACGUUAGCGGCGGACGGGUGAGUAACACGUGGAUAACCUACCUAUAAGACUGGGAUAACUUCGGGAAACCGGAGCUAAUACCGGAUAAUAUAUUGAACCGCAUGGUUCAAUAGUGAAAGACGGUUUUGCUGUCACUUAUAGCAGGAUCCGCGCCGCAUUAGCUAGUUGGUCAGGUAACGGCUUACCAAGGCGACGAUGCGUAGCCGACCUGAGAGGGUGAUCGGCCACACUGGAACUGAGACACGGUCCAGACUCCUGCGGGAGGCAGCAGUAGGGAAUCUUCCGCAAUGGGCGAAAGCUUGACGGAGCAACGCCGCGUGAGUGAUGAAGGUCUUCGGAUCGUAAAACUCUGUUAUUAGGGAAGAACAAAUGUGUAAGUAACUAUGCACGUCUUGACGGUACCUACUCAGAAAGCCACGGCUAACUACGUG